rnacentral:piRNA from 1 species
AGAUGACAAGGACCUGCAUUAAGCUGU